AUAUUAUGUGAAAGGAGCGGUCAACAUUCCCCUUCACGGGAAUGGAAGAGGCCCAUAAACCUAAAGAAAUAUAUAUAAUUAAGGCAGUGCCAUACAUUUUCUGACAUCUAACCACUGUUUGUU